CUGGCGGCAGGCCUAACACAUGCAAGUCGAGCGGUAACAGAUUGAUAGCUUGCUAUCAAUGCUGACGAGCGGCGGACGGGUGAGUAAUGCCUGGGAAUAUGCCCUGAUGUGGGGGAUAACUAUUGGAAACGAUAGCUAAUACCGCAUAAUCUCUUCGGAGCAAAGAGGGGGACCUUCGGGCCUCUCGCGUCAGGAUUAGCCCAGGUGGGAUUAGCUUGUUGGUGGGGUAAUGGCUCACCAAGGCGACGAUCCCUAGCUGGUCUGAGAGGAUGAUCAGCCACACUGGAACUGAGACACGGUCCAGACUCCUACGGGAGGCAGCAGUGGGGAAUAUUGCACAAUGGGGGAAACCCUGAUGCAGCCAUGCCGCGUGUAUGAAGAAGGCCUUCGGGUUGUAAAGUACUUUCAGUUGUGAGGAAGGCAGUAAAGUUAAUAGCUUUAUUGUUUGACGUUAGCAACAGAAGAAGCACCGGCUAACUCCGUGCCAGCAGCCCGCGGUAAUACGGAGGGUGCGAGCGUUAAUCGGGAAUUACUUGGGCGUAAAGCGC
rnacentral:rRNA from 1 species